UAGGGAAUCUUCCACAAUGGACGAAAGUCUGAUGGAGCAACGCCGCGUGAGUGAAGAAGGGUUUCGGCUCGUAAAACUCUGUUGUUAAAGAAGAACAUAUCUGAGAGUAACUGUUCAGGUAUUGACGGUAUUUAACCAGAAAGCCGCGGCUAACUACGCGCCAG
rnacentral:rRNA from 1 species